AGAGCGAACGCUGGCGGCAUGCUUAACACAUGCAAGUCGCACGGGCAGGGGAAACCCUGUCAGUGGCGGACGGGUGAGUAACGCGUAGGUAUCUAUCCUUGGGUGGGGGACAACGGCUGGAAACGGCUGCUAAUACCGCAUGAUGACCGAGGUCUAAAGGCGCAAGUCGCCUGGGGAGGAGCCUGCGUACGAUUAGCUUGUUGGUGGGGUAAAGGCCUACCAAGGCUACGAUCGUUAGCUGGUCUGAGAGGAUGAUCAGCCACAUUGGGACUGAGACACGGCCCAAACUCCUACGGGAGGCAGCAGUGGGGAAUAUUGGACAAUGGGCGUAAGCCUGAUCCAGCAAUGCCGCGUGUGUGAAGAAGGUCUUCGGAUUGUAAAGCACUUUCGGACGGGGACAUGAUGACGGUACCCGUAGAAGAGCCCCGGCUAACUUCGUGCCAGCAGCCGC
rnacentral:rRNA from 1 species